rnacentral:rRNA from 1 species
ACUCAAUAGAUACCCCGGUAGUCCACGCCCUAAACGAUGUCAACUAGUUGUCGGGUCUUAACGGACUUGGUAAACGCAGCUAAACGCGUGAAAGUUGACCGCCUGGGGAGUUCGGUCGCAAGAUUAAAACUCAAAGGAAUUGACGGGGACCCGCACAAGCGGUGGAUUAUGUGGAUUAAUUCGAUGCAACGCGAAAAACCUUACCUACCUUGACAUGUGCCGAAGCCCGCUGAGAGGUGGGUGUGCCCGAAAGGGAGCGGCAACACAGGUGCUGCAUGGCUGUCGUCAGCUCGUGUCGUGAGAUGUUGGGUUAAGUCCCGCAACGAGCGCAACCCUUGUCAUUAACUGCCAUCAUUCAGUUGGGCACUUUAAUGAAACUGCCGGUGACAAACCGGAGGAAGGUGGGGAUGACGUCAAGUCCUCAUGGCCCUUAUGGGUAGGGCUUCACACGUAAUACAAUGGCGCGUACAGAGGGUUGCCAACCCGCGAGGGGAGCUAACCUCAGAAAGCGCGUCGUAGUCCGGAUCGGAGUCUGCAACUCGACUCCGUGAA